ensembl:snoRNA SCARNA10 small nucleolar RNA U85
GCCACAUGAUGAUAUCAAGGCUGUUGUGAUUCAGUUGGUUUGGCUAAGUCCUAGGACCUUUGGCCAUCUAUUAAGGUCUGUAAUCUUGGUGAGCGAUACAGAGUUGUGUGCGUUCGCUGUAAGGGCAGACCCACAGGAAUUUUGUCCUACUUUUGAACUACCUCUUUGAUAGGGGUGAUUCUUCCAGUUACCAGAGAGAAACCAUGGUAGCUGGAGCGAGAGAGUAGGGACAGGGCAUGUUCAGGGUCAGGGGUCCCAAAGGACUUAGCUUGUAUUGUGACCACUGAGAGAUGAAACACAGAUCUUUGGUAAUCUGAUGGCU